rnacentral:rRNA from 1 species
CAGUAGCCACGGGAAUACGUAGGUGGCAAGCGUUGUCCGGAAUUAUUGGGCGUAAAGGGCUCGCAGGCGGUUUCUUAAGUCUGAUGUGAAAGCCCCCCGGCUCAACCGGGGAGGGUCAUUGGAAACUGGGAAACUUGAGUGCAGAAGAGGAGAGUGGAAUUCCACGUGUAGCGGUGAAAUGCGUAGAGAUGUGGAGGAACACCAGUGGCGAUGGCGACUCUCUGGUCUGUAACUGACGCUGAGGAGCGAAAGCGUGGGGAGCGAACAGGAUUAGAUACCCCCGUAGUCCCUGUCUCUUAUA